CCCUUAGAUGUUCUGGGCCGCACGCGUGCUACACUGAACGGUUCAAUGGGUAAGGUAGUGCGAAAGCAUGACCUAAUCUCGAAAUCCGUUCGUGCUGGGGAUAGAAGCUUGCAAUUAUCCUUCUUGAACGAGGAAUACCUUGUAAGCGUGAGUCAUCAUCUCACGCUGAAUACGUCCCUGCCCUUUGUACACACCGCCCGUCGCUCCUACCGAUUGAGUGUUCCGGUGAGGCUUUGGGAGUAUGGCCUCAACAUGAGUUUAUCGUGUUUUGCCGUUUGAACUUAGUCAAACCUUAUCACUUAGAGGAAGGAGAAGUCGUAACA
rnacentral:rRNA from 1 species